AAAUGCAAAAAAAUUGUACAUUUUAGAAAACUUUAACGUCUUAAGCUAGAAAAAAUAUUUAGACAUUUUAUCUAUAUUUAAAAAGAAUUUAUAAUUUUUAUAUACUAAAACAGGUAACAACCCAUUAUAUAAAUAAAUGUAUUUUUUGCAUAAUUACUAAAAAAGAAAUAAUUUAUAAUUCGAAGUCAUUUUUUUUUCAUACAUUUGAAAAUGUCCUAUACAACCGUAAUCAACUGAUUGUGAAAGGAGGAAAAUAGAUUACAAGCUAUAUUAUACAGUAAAUAUUUUUUCUUUAUGAAGAAUAUCAUAUAUUUCGAUAUUUUAUAGUAAUAUAAUGAAUUAUUUUAGUAAAAACUAAUUUAAAUAAUAGUUUUGGCGCCGUCUAUAAAAUCUUUCGUAUUUGUUAUUCAUCUUUGUGAACACAAAAAAGAGCAGAAAAUGAAUUUUAUUUCUUGCAUCAUUACAACCAUAGACAACAUCAGUAGGUCUUAAAUGCUUUGCGUUAUGGCCAUUUUGUUCGUGUUCAGUUUAGCAACAAUGUGCAUCUCUUAUAAUUGUGCAGUGAAAAAUCAACAAAAAUUAGUUCAUUUUGAUGACUUCAGUUUCAAACACUUUGAAAAUGCCCUUAUCACCAGCGGACAGACAACGUUUAUACAGAGAACGUCUCAAAGAGAAUCAUCCAGAUAAAUACGAAGAAAUGCAAUGGCGAAAUCGUGAGAGA